CGAGGGUUGCUUUAAGUGGAUAUUGAAUUGUUUAAGCAAACGAGGUUGAGCGGGAUGUUGCGGAGGAUGUUGAGUUGGCCCAAGAACUUAGGAUGCGUUGUGUCUUCAUACAUAGGCGUUAUCCUCGACUCUUUUUAAACCUUAGUUCCGCUGCUAUAUUUUUUGAACUAUGCCUCAAGACUUUAUUCCAUUUCAUACUGUGUUUGAGCAUGUUUAAUUGUGUUAGGCUUUAAUCUGAUGUUUACCUUGGUUCUCUAAAAUGGUUUCUCGUGAACUAAACCAAUGUUUUCUUUUGGAA